AGCUGGCGGCGGCGGCCAGGCCAGGGCGGAUUGGGGUGGGGGCCGCAUCUCGCGUCGCAGGGAUGGAAGUCCUGGUGGAGCGUGUGGCCCUACUCCGUCUCCUCACCACCUUCUCCCUCCCACGCAUCAGUGGUGCUGUGGUGGACAGGGAAGGCAGCGGCCCACCGACGGCACCCUCCCUGUGUCUCUUCUCUGGUCGCCCUCUGUUAAAGCCCUUGGCGGGGACCAAGGCUACUAACCCAACACAGCGCGCUCGCGUCGGCCCAGAUUUCUUGGCCACCUUGUGCCGAUGAAAGUGGAUUAUAUGCACUUGCAGAAAGUGACGAGGGAAAGUGAAUCCAAUUUUUUAAUAUUUGAAAGCCUCACACCUGCAGAUUUAUGCACUUGCCUUGAAGUGCAACGGUCAAAUUUUGGUCCACCUAUCACUAAAGGAGUAAAAGAGCAGUGUCGACCUAAGGUUACUGCGGAUAGGACUACGGAAGCUGGCCUGCACUGGAUAUCCAGAUUUUGUUGGCGGUUGCUAGCGGGGAAGAGGGGUGUCAUUUGGAGGAUGAGGAUAAGGAAGGCGGCUAUCGCUGGAAAAACAUGUGGGGCUUUCAUAGAAACUACGGAGAAUUUGGGAUUUGUCUACAUUGCUUCGAGACAUUAUGCACAUGAAAGAAAGUGCCUGUUUUGCUCACAAAAUAUUACCACAGUAUGGUGGAGCCUUGCAGGGUGAGGGAGUAGACAAUGGUGAAGAUCAGAGGGCGUGAGCUCACGGUGGUCGCCCAGAUUUCAACAGCUUCGACGGGUAGAGAAGGUAACUAUGUAUGGAGAUCAAAUCAGAAUGGUUCUAGGUGUAUCUGAAUGAGUGCUCUCAGAAUGGUUUUUUUUCUUCCUGUGGAACGGAGUCAAGUUCUCAAGGCUGGUGCUAAUAUUGUAUUUACCGCUAGGGGUGGAGCCAGCACCUACAGGUUAGUUUCUUCCUGUCUUCUUAUGCCCACCCCAUCUUCCCAUAAUGUCCUACGAUUUUUUCAGUCUUCUGAAAUUUUAAGCGGAUGUUUUAUGCUUUAGACUGAUAUAGUUGUAAUCUAUUUAUUAUAUGCACCCAUGAUUUCUAUGAUUAAGAUUUCAUUUUGUCGGCUGAUUUCUCGAUUGAUUGAACUAACUGUUCAUUUUCAUUUUGUGUUAAUGCUUAAUAAUAUGUUUGUUGCUUCUUCUUGCAUGUG